AGGGCCGACGCUGCGCUCUCGCCGCGGAGCACCCUUCUAGCUUCUUCCUCUCCAGGACAGACGCUGGAACUCUUUCUCUUGCCUUAGCCUAACUUUAUUUCCAGGCUCUCCAACUCCAACUCCAGCUUCACUUCACCCCUAACUUUUUCUCUCCACUUUUCCCUCCUCCCCCACACUACAAACCCAGUUCCCCUUUCCUUUCUCCCUCUCUCCCGUUCCCUCCCCUCCCCUCCUCUCCACAUCUUCCCUCCACCUCUAAACUCCCUAGCGCACCCCGCACUUGGUCCUCUGGUCGCCGGCUCCCGUUUGACGUUUGACUCUUCUAGCCAUGGCGGGACCUGGGGGCUGGAGAGACAAGGAGGUCACGGAUCUGGGCCACUUGCCGGAUCUAAUUGGAAUAAUGUCACUAGACAA